rnacentral:lncRNA from 1 species
UAUUUUUAAAGGAUUAUAGCUUUAAUGAAAAGGGUAAAAUGACCAAAUUAGCUUUCUAGAAGAAAAAAUAUAUUUUAAAUAUAUUUUCGUCAUUUUUAAGGUACUUUUGAAAUAAAUUAUAAAAAAUUGAUAGAGUAUUGAUGAUACCAUGAUAAAGGAGGACUAAAUAUAUCAACUUAAAAUUCUGAUGGAGUAAAAUCUAGGUUUUUGUAAGUCGGUGAGAGAAAGUGAAAAGUAUAUAUUUACUGGAGAAUUUUCUGUAUUUUAACCUAAUAAAUUAAAAAGAUAUGAGACUUAGAUCUAUUU